rnacentral:pre_miRNA from 1 species
ACCGCUGCCCUGGCCUUGCGUCACUCUCCCUCUCUCCCUUGCAGUGGCAAGAACUCGGCACGGUCC